rnacentral:ribozyme from 1 species
UGCCCAGCACCUCCUAUCCCUACCUCCUCGUGGUACUGGCCCUCGUACCUCGGCCAUCAGGGAAGA